rnacentral:misc_RNA from 1 species
CAAGAUGUCCGCUUCAGG